rnacentral:rRNA from 1 species
CCCGGCGACCGGCGCACGGGUGAGUAACACGUAUGCAACCUGGCCGCCACAGGGGGAUAACCCGCGGAAACGCGGCCUAAUACCCCGUGACGCCACCGGAGGGCAUCCUCCGGGUGGCCAAAGGAGCGAUCCGGUGGCGGAUGGGCAUGCGGCGCAUUAGCUAGACGGCGGGGUGACGGCCCACCGUGGCGACGAUGCGUAGGGGUUCUGAGAGGAAGGCCCCCCCACACUGGGACUGAGACACGGCCCAGACUCCUACGGGAGGCAGCAG